GCGGGGGAGGGAAGUGGUAUUUGGAAUCCAAAGCUUCCAUCUGCACUACAUUAUAACACUUCUUAGUCUGACAUCAAAACAAUGUCUUGAUCCAUUGUGUGGCUACCAUACAUUUAGAUGUGGAAGCAAGGUGCAGUGAGGAAGAGAUUGGAAGAGUUCUCUUCCCAGCAACUGAGCCCUCACCUGAAGCAGCUAAGAAGACUGGG